rnacentral:rRNA from 1 species
AUUGAACGCUGGCGGCAUGCUUUACACGUGCAAGUCGAACGGUAACGCGGGGCAACCUGGCGACGAGUGGCGAACGGGUGAGUAAUGUAUCGGAACGUGCCCAGUUGUGGGGGAUAACUGCUCGAAAGAGCAGCUAAUACCGCAUACGACCUGAGGGUGAAAGCGGGGGAUCGCAAGACCUCGCGCAAUUGGAGCGGCCGAUAUCAGAUUAGGUAGUUGGUGGGGUAAAGGCUCACAAGCCAACGAUCUGUAGCUGGUCUGAGAGGACGACCAGCCACACUGGGACUGAGACACGGCCCAGACUCCUACGGGAGGCAGCAGUGGGGAAUUUUGGACAAUGGACGCAAGUCUGAUCCAGCCAUGCCGCGUGCGGGAAGAAGGCCUUCGGGUUGUAAACCGCUUUUGUCAGGGAAGAAACGCUCUGGGUUAAUACCUCGGGGUAAUGACGGUACCUGAAGAAUAAGCACCGGCUAACUACGUGCCAGCCGCCGCCGUAACAC